AGUGAACGCUGGCGGUAGGCCUAACACAUGCAAGUCGAACGGCAGCACAGUAAGAGCUUGCUCUUACGGGUGGCGAGUGGCGGACGGGUGAGGAAUACAUCGGAAUCUACUUUUUCGUGGGGGAUAACGUAGGGAAACUUACGCUAAUACCGCAUACGGCCUACGGGUGAAAGCAGGGGAUCUUCGGACCUUGCGCGAUUGAAUGAGCCGAUGUCGGAUUAGCUAGUUGGCGGGGUAAAGGCCCACCAAGGCGACGAUCCGUAGCUGGUCUGAGAGGAUGAUCAGCCACACUGGAACUGAGACACGGUCCAGACUCCUACGGGAGGCAGCAGUGGGGAAUAUUGGACAAUGGGCGCAAGCCUGAUCCAGCCAUACCGCGUGGGUGAAGAAGGCCUUCGGGUUGUAAAGCCCUUUUGUUGGGAAAGAAAAGCAGCAGGUUAAUACCCCGCUGUUCUGACGGUACCCAAAGAAUAAGCACCGGCUAACUUCG
rnacentral:rRNA from 1 species